ACUCCUCCAUCUGCCCUGCUCCUGCCAUGAGCGGUGGCCUCCUGUGCUGGGCGGCAUUUUGUCUCCUGCAGGCAGGUGCAGUGAAUGCUGGUGUCACUCAGACACCAAAAUUCCACAUCCUGGAGACAGGACAGAACACGACACUGAUAUGUGCCCAGGAUAUGAACCAUGACUACAUGUACUGGUAUCGACAAGACCUGGGACAUGGGCUGAGGCUGAUACACUACUCACGUACUUCUGGUGUCACUGAAGCGAGAGAUAUUCCCGAUGGGUACAGAGUCUCCAGAUCAAAUACAGAGAACUUCCUCCUCACGCUGGUGUCCCCUACCCCCUCCAAGACAUCUGUGUACUUCUGUGCCAGCAGUUACUCCACAGCUCUGCACGGCUGA